CCGCCCUUCAGUGUUGCAGCUAAAGCAUUAAGCACUCCGCCUGGGGAGUACGACCGCAAGGUUGAAACUCAAAGGAAUUGACGGGGGCCCGCACCAGCGGUGGAGCAUGUGGUUUAAUUUGAAGCAACGCGAAGAACCUUACCAGGUCUUGACAUCCUUUGACCACUCUAGAGAUAGAGCUUCCCCUUUGGGGGCAAAGUGACAGGUGGUGCAUGGUUGUCGUCAGCUUGUGUCGUGAGAUGUUGGGUUAAGUCCCGCAACGAGCGCAACCCUUAUUGUUAGUUGCCAUCAUUCAGUUGGGCACUCUAGCAAGACUGCCGGUGACAAACCGGAGGAAGGUGGGGAUGACGUCAAAUCAUCAUGCCCCUUAUGACCUGGGCUACACACGUGCUACAAUGGGAAGUACAACGAGUUGCGAAGUCGCGAGGCUAAGCUAAUCUCUUAAAGCUUCUCUCAGUUCGGAUUGCAGGCUGCAACUCGCCUGCAUGAAGCCGGAAUCGCUAGUAAUCGCGGAUCAGCACGCCGCGGUGAAUACGUUCCCGGGCCUUGUACACACCGCCCGUCACACCACGAGAGUUUGUAACACCCGAAGUCGGUGAGGUAACCUUUUUGGAGCCAGCCGCCUAAGGUUGGAAUCGAGAUUGG
rnacentral:rRNA from 1 species